rnacentral:rRNA from 1 species
GACGAACGCUGGCGGCGUGCUUAACACAUGCAAGUCGAACGGAAAGGCCCUGCUUUUGUGGGGUGCUCGAGUGGCGAACGGGUGAGUAACACGUGAGUAACCUGCCCUUGACUUUGGGAUAACUUCAGGAAACUGGGGCUAAUACCGGAUAGGAGCUCCUGCUGCAUGGUGGGGGUUGGAAAGGUUCGGGGGUUGGGGAUGGACUCGCGGCUUAUCAGCUUGGUGGUGGGGUAGUGGCUUACCAAGGCUUUGACGGGUAGCCGGCCUGAGAGGGUGACCGGCCACAUUGGGACUGAGAUACGGCCCAGACUCCUACGGGAGGCAGCAGUGGGGAAUAUUGCACAAUGGGCGGAAGCCUGAUGCAGCAACGCCGCGUGCGGGAUGACGGCCUUCGGGUUGUAAACCGCUUUCGCCUGUGACGAAGCGUGAGUGACGGUAAUGGGUAAAGAAGCACCGGCUAACUACGUGCCAGCCGCCGCAGUAAAAC